rnacentral:rRNA from 1 species
CGGGGGUGGGGCGGGGGAGUGCGGGGUGGUCGCUGGUCGCGACGUUUGGUUGGGGGUGGCCACGACGGCUACCGCCGCUCUUCAUUGCCUCUCGGCGCCGCCGGCUGCAACUCCGCAACGUUGGUGCCGCUGUUCACUACCUCUAGGUAGUAAAAGAAAAGAACCUUCGUCGGGGUUAAAAACGACGUCUGCGGGAACUAAAAACGACCUUGGUCACAUUCUAAAACGAUGUUGGUACAAGAAAAAGAUACCUUGGUUGAGCUUCAAAACGACGGUACAGUAAAAGAAAAACCAUGUUGGCCAAAAGUUAAAACGAUGGUGGUAGAAGUCAAGAACGACCUUGGUUAAUUAAUAAAACGAUGGUGGUACAAGCAAAGAAAAAAUACCUUGGUUGGGUUUAAAAACGUUGGUACAGUAAACAAAAACUAUGUUGGUUACAUGUAAAAACGAUGUUGGUUGGAGCCAAAAACAACCUUGGUUAGUUAAUAAAACGAUGGUACAAAAAACCCCCCUUGGUCACGUAGUUAAAGAAACGAUGGUGGCAAACUCAAAAACGAUGUUGGUUACAAGAGUUAACGAUGUAGGUUGUGCGUAGUGUCACAGUACAUUAAACAACCUUGGUCGUUUGUAAGAACGAACUUCGCCGUACUAAAAAACAACCUUGGUCACAAAGAAAAACGACCUUGAUCGAUUAAAAAAACGAUGUUAGACGAUGACCUCAAAAACACGACAACUCUCAAAACGACCUUGGUAGUAAUAAAAAACGACCUUGGCCGUUUAAAAAAACGAAGUUGGGUCGUAACCUCUAAAAAUAACGAAAAAAACGAUCUGUACUGCGACGUUCAACUGUUACCGCCGCUCGGCCUCUGCCCCUGCGGUCCCUACGAGGUUGGUACUACUGUCGCGCGACCUUAGGAGGACACAAACUCAACGUUGGUACUGCUCGUCUCCGUCGGUUCCGUUCACAGCCUCUGCUGGCAGUCCGUUCGCCGUCCGCUCGCGCCCACUGCCCGCACCACCGCGCCACCUUUCGUUCGUGCCCUUCUGCUCCUGAUAGCGCUCGCCGGCCGCUCGUGUGUCUAGACCGUACGCGCGAGCGACAGGAAAAAAAACACAAAGGACACGCACAAAAAAAAAGACGUACAAACUGAAAAUUUUGUUUCGUUAGUCUGCCACCCCUUGCCUACAUAGCCCGCCGACCCCGAACUGGCCUGCUUGUCAAGCCGGCCACGCGGCCGCGGAUAUUCGCGGGAAUAGAAAUUCGUUGGUUAAACCUCAAAACCUGUGAAGUCUUUACCAUAGCUAAUUAGUCAGAAUAUAUUAAUUUGACGUCGUAGCUAGCUUCUACUUCCUUCGACGCUCGAGUUUAAUAGUGCGCGCCUUUGUUUUAGCUUGGGGAAAAACACAUCCCCUUCUUUGGAUCGAUUAAACGUUCCUUUUUUUUACGACGAACGAGUUCGCGUUUCCGCUUCUUGACCCCGCUCCUGCUCGUUCGCCGUGUAUGGAUGAUGCACGUGGCAGCGGGUGCCCUUCUCGGGCAGAGCGACCGCCGCGCCUGCCUCUCUCGCCCUUCGUUGGCCACCGCUACGGCUGCCGCUGCCGCCAGAGCUCAGGUGGCCGGCGGCGUGCCGUGCUCGUCUUUUCCUUCCUCUCUCUCUGGUAGGCGGAGAGGCUCAAGGAUGGGCGAGCAUGACCCGAGUAAAAUCCAACCCGAACCACCCGAGAACCCGACCACAACCCGGAAUGUCCGCCCGGUCCGAUCUCCGGACCAUAACGCCAGGCCGGACGCUGCCGGUCGGGACUACCUUUUCCGGCGGGAGACCGGCAGCCUCCGCGGUGACCGAGCGGCCGUCCUUUUCUCCGUUGUAGAGGUUGAGGCACUGCCGCUGCCGCUCCCAUCCUCCUCCUCUACUUCGACUUCGUCGACCUCCCGGACGACCCCCCGGACUGGGUCAAGAGGCUGGGGUUCCACCUCGACCUCGUCAUGCGCUGCCCGGGGGUGUAGCGCAGCUCCUACGAGAUGUGCCGGCUCUUGUCGAAGCUGCUGUAUCGACCAUUUCACCACCGCCUAAAACCCACGCCGACACCAUGGGACCGGCAGCGCUCACGAGACGACCUACGACUCGUACAGUGACCAUAACUAUAACUGGAGGUCAGGGAACUUGAACGAGUUCUUUUACGAUGACUAGAUCUCGACCUAUAGCUGAAUUAAGUCACACUGUAUUUCUUGAAUUUAAAUUUUCCGGAAGAACAACUAUGACAACAGUACUUAGGAGGGAAACCCUGUUUUUCUUUUCCUCGGCUGUACCUUAAGGAAAGAUACCCGAACUUCCAACGUAGAGUUCGACAGAUAAGAGAUGUGUUCUGAAGGUGUGCUCUUAUGUAGUUCUUCCGUCGGGACGCAUUAACGUUGCGUCAGUCACGACUUCAAGACACACUCGACGCGAUACUAGAUGGAGCCUGGAUGUCCAAGGUGUUCGUUUUCCUCGAGCUAUAACGUCAGCUAGACACCGCGAAGCAGGGUGUUCGAGCUCUGCUUUCCCGUUCGAUCGUCGGAUCGUACUGCGCCGUUACACUGCUCCGGCACUGUAGUGCGAACAACUUGGUGGUGUCGCACUACCGACCUGAACGAUCUUCUUCUUUUGGGGUCAUCUAGUCGUCGGUAUGGGUGGGACCCGUCACUAUCCCGAAAGGCCGUGUAACCGUCCGUCCUAACCACGAGAGAGACAUGGUCGUGAACAAGUCAAAAAAGAACAAGAUAUGAGGAUGAUAGUCUCUUUUUGUCGCAGACCCUUGUUUUAAGUCGCAAUUUAGCCGCUCGUAGCAGAGACGCGGGUCAAUGAGAGAUGUUUCACCUUUAAAAACGACGCUCAUUAAGUGUCGCAUGUGAGUAGACAAAAAAAAGGAAAACAUCUUGUGUGCUGUAACAAAACGAUUUGUAAAAUCAGAAACACCCAGACAGAUCCUGUGUAGAUCUACACCGUAUCAAUACAGUGUAGAUUCGACUAAAAGUGA